GGGAUAAGAUAAGAGACAAGGCAUUGUUUAUCCCUAAUACGAGAAUAUGAGGACAUUAUUAAAGAAGAUGAUAGAAGACUGAGACGAUCUGCACUAGCUCUCUAGAUCCAUCACUGCAGUGCAUUCAGCCCAGCAGUCAAGAGUUCAAGGCUUGAAGAAUGAAUAAAUACAAAAUGCAUCCAUUUCUCCACAGGCUAUUCCUAAAGAAUUGGAACAAUGGAUUCAUUCAGGCAGCAAGUUAAUCCAUCAUGUAACUAAAGGAAAAUGGUAUGCUCCAUAUUAGCUAUAAACCAAAUUACCAUGCAAUAUUCCUGGCAAACAAUAAAAUAUAACAAUAGAAUUGCAAACAUUUAAUUAUGCAUCCAAUGUUUGUGCAUGUUUCCAUGCACUGUUCUGAAUUUAAUUCAAUUUUAAACACCAAUUUACUCUCAAUAAUGGUAUGUUAAUACAUGUAUAUCCUGAUUUUCUCAUACAUGUAUUUUCAGAAUUGAUUUCAUCCA